UACGUAGGGCGCAAGCGUUGUCCGGAUUUAUUGGGCGUAAAGAGCGUGUAGGCGGCCAGGUAGGUCCGUUGUGAAAACUCGAGGCUCAACCUCGAGACGUCGGCGGAAACCCUCUGGCUAGAGUCCGGAAGAGGAGAGUGGAAUUCCUGGUGUAGCGGUGAAAUGCGUAGAUAUCUGGAGGAACACCGGUGGCGAAGGCGGCAUCCUGGACCAAUAUUGACGCUGAGGAGCGAAAGCCAGGGGAGCAAACGGG
rnacentral:rRNA from 1 species